ensembl:lncRNA
CUCAGUGUUUGUUCUGCACAACAUUUUUCCCCAGGUGAUAAGCCUGCAAGUCUACUGGAGAAAAAGCACGGUGAAGUGCAGGUGGGAAAUGCAUAAAGCAGCUUUCACCGUGGUGUAAUUGGGAGGGCUAACUUUAUUCUGCUGUGCAGUUUAUCUCAGCAAGCUCUGCCUUUUCCUAAUACGACUGCGACGUGCCAAGGCGCUCCAGGAAAAACAAAACAGAACAUGAAACCACCUCACUUACAGGGAUGACGCAGACUAAGUUCAGAAGAGACGAGGAAGACUUAGGGUUUUGCUCAGGCAUAACAGAUAUGUCUAAGCAUCAGUCAUCAAUUCUGCCACCACUCGUAAAAGGUGCAACACCGAUACAUUCACUCAGAGACAGCUGGGAGUCACUUUUCUGGUUUCUGAUGAUAAAGAAAGGAAAGAGAUAAGUGCAGAGGAAGAUACAUACAACAAAAUAAAGAGAAAUGUGCAAGAAGGCUUUCAAAGGACUUGAACUCUGCUGUACUGUGUCAGAAAUCCUCUCAUUUCACUAAAUAAAAGUAUUCCCUAUAAAAUAUCAAGUAUAUACUGGAUAUCUUGCUGCAGAAAAAAUAAGACGACAAGGCACUGUAGUUUUGUUGUGUGAUAUAAUAAUUAAGUAUCAUAGAAUCAUAGAAUCGCUAAGGUUGGAAAAGACCCACAGGAUCAUCCAGCCCAACCAAUCACCCUUCACCAAUGGUUCUCACUAAACCAUGUCCCUCAACACAACAUCCAAAUGCUCUUUGAACACCACCAGGCUCGGUGACUCCACCACCUCUCUGGGCAGCCCAUUCCAGUGCCUGACCACCCUUUCAGAGAAGUAGUAUUUCCUAACGUCCAGCCUGAACCUUCCCUGACGCAGCUUGAAGCCAUUCCCUCUAGUCCUAUCCCUAGUCACACGAGAGAAGAGGCCGUCCCCCAGCUCACUACAACCUCCCUUCAGGUAGUUAUAGAGAGCAAUAAGGUCUCCCCUGAGCCUCCUCUUCUCCAGACUGAGCAAUCCCAGCUCCUUCAGCCGCUCCUCAUAAGGCCUGUGCUCCAGACCCCUCACCAGCUUUGUUGCCCUCCUCUGGACACGCUCCAGGGCCUCGAUGUCUUUCUUACAGUGAGGGGCCCAAAACUGGACACAGUACUCGAGGUGCGGCCUCACCAGUGCUGAGUAUAGGGGGACAAUUACUUCCCUGUUCCUGCUGGCCACACUAUUUCUGAUACAAGCCAGGAUGCCAUUGGCUUUCUUGGCCACCUGGGCACACUGCUGGCUCAUGUUCAGUCUAGCAUCAAUCAACACACCCAGGUCCAUUUCCUCUACAAGUAAAGGCAUUGUCCUUUGUCAAUGCUUUCAAUUUUAAAAUAGAUAAUGAAUACAUAUUUAAAGAAAUCAGUAUUUGCUUGCUUAUUUCGUGCAAAACAAGCUACUCCCUCUAUCCGUAUUUUAUAUAAAAUACUUCAGACUUGAAAACAGUUGUUUGUGAAACAGAUUUGAAAUAUCAACAGCUGCCUCUGGCUGAGCUCUCUGUCUUAUCCCAGGGACGAGUUAAUCUUGUUGUGAUUGCAGUUGCUUGAACAGUGUAAUCAAAUGAAGGAACAAUGCAUACAAACCCAGUUUCGUUGUUUAGUUCAACAGACCGUACUAAACUGAAAGAAGAAUCUGUAGUCAUUUUUGCCAAGUACUGCUAAAAGUCCUUUAGCUUAAUGGUAUUUCUUAGAAGAAAAUAAUUCCAUUCUCCUUAUCUAGCUUCUAAUACCAGAACAAUGCUGUUUUGGAACUAGUUCACAAAUAACCAGGUCAAAGUAUAUUUAACAAAUGGCUUCUACGCAUUUAUCUUUUUCUAGCACUGGUCAUGAACUAUUUAAAGCUUUUUUUUUUUUUUUUUUUUUUAAAAAUCAGAGUAAAUGUAAUCUGUUCCAAAUGGCUGUCAUUCAGCUGGUACAUUGUAUUCAGCAAUAUGCUGCAAUAUACCUUUGCUUUGUAGGGUAAAAGAUGUUUCUUUGUUUACAUUUUGUCACAUCCCCUGCAAUGGAUGCUUCCUUCAUUAGCUGAUUAAAAGCCCUGAAGUUCAUGGAAAACAUUGCAGCGAAAGCUUCUCAAAGGUCUCAUUACAGAUUUAUUGUAAUAGUUGGCUUUCUGGGCAUGCAAAGAGUUCUUGA